UACAGGGGGUGCUAGCGUUGUUCGGAAUUACUGGGCGUAAAGGGCGCGUAGGCGGUUUUAUAAGUCAGGAGUGAAAUCCCGGAGCUUAACUUCGGAAUUGCUUUUGAAACUAUAAGGCUAGAGUGAGUUAGAGGAUAUGGGAAUUCCUAGUGUAGAAGUGAAAUUCGUAGAUAUUCGCAAGAACACCAGUGGCGAAGGCGGCUCACUGGCCCGAUACUGACGCUGAGGCGCGAAAGCGUGGGGAGCAAACAGG
rnacentral:rRNA from 1 species